rnacentral:rRNA from 1 species
CGCAUCUGUGCAUGCAGCAUAUCAAUAAGCGGAGGAAAAGAAACUAACAAGGAUUCCCCUAGUAACGGCGAGUGAAGCGGGAAGAGCUCAAAUUUGAAAUCUUAAAGGGUUUCCCUUUACGAAUUGUAGUUUAAAGAAGUGUUUUCUGUUGAGGUUUUGGUAAAAGUUCUUUGGAAUAGGACAUCAUAGAGGGUGAGAAUCCCGUAUUUGACCUUUACUUUCAACUUUGUGAUACACUUUCAAAGAGUCGGAUUGUUUGGGAAUGCAGUCCAAAAUGGGUGGUAAAUUUCAUCUAAAGCUAAAUAUUGGCGAGAGACCGAUAGCGAACAAGUACCGUGAGGGAAAGAUGAAAAGAACUUUGAAAAGAGAGUUAAACAGUACGUGAAAUUGUCAAAAGGGAAGCGUUUGACACCAGUGUUGUUUUUCUGAAAAUCAAUUAAAGAACUGUUUAUGCUAAGCUGUUUAGACUUUAUCAGCUAUACUGUUUAGUUUUGAGCUUUUCUUUAAUGCACUUUUCAGUUAACAAGUCAACAUCAAUUUCUUUUGCUGUAAAAAAGCUUGAGGAAGGUGGCUUGAGAUUCGUCUUAAGUGUUUAUAGCCUCUUGCCUAUGCAGUCGGAGAGAUUGAGGUCUGCAGCGUAGAUCCUUCGGGGCUAAAUGCAUUUGUGCUAAGUUAUAGCAUUUUAUAGACAACUUGUUGACUAUGAUGUGUCUUGUAGCUUACUCGCUUAUGUUAUUUUACCUACGCUUAGGAUGUUGAGUCAUCACACAUCUCU